UACGAAGGGGGCUAGCGUUGCUCGGAAUCACUGGGCGUAAAGCGCACGUAGGCGGAUUGCUAAGUCAGGGGUGAAAUCCUGGAGCUCAACUCCAGAACUGCCUUGAUACUGGCGAUCUUGAGUCCGGGAGAGGUGAGUGGAACUGCGAGUGUAGAGGUGAAAUUCGUAGAUAUUCGCAAGAACACCAGUGGCGAAGGCGGCUCACUGGCCCGGUACUGACGCUGAGGUGCGAAAGCGUGGGGAGCAAACAGG
rnacentral:rRNA from 1 species